CAGUCGCCGCGGUAAUACGAAGGGGGCAAGCGUUAAUCGGAAUUACUGGGCGUAAAGCGUGCGUAGGCGGUUUGUUAAGUCUGUUGUGAAAUCCCCGGGCUCAACCUGGGAAUGGCAAUGGAUACUGGCAAGCUAGAGUGUGGCAGAGGGGGGUGGAAUUCCGCGUGUAGCAGUGAAAUGCGUAGAUAUGCGGAGGAAUACCGAUGGCGAAGGCAGCCCCCUGGGCCAAUACUGACGCUCAUGCACGAAAGCGUGGGGAGCAAACAGGAUUAGAUACCCCCGUAGUCCCUGUCUCUUAUAC
rnacentral:rRNA from 1 species